CCCUUAGAUGUUCUGGGCAGCACGCGCGCUAAAAUGGUCUUCGCAAACGGAUGCAUUCUCGAAGGAGAAUGCCAAUCUUGGAAUCUAUGCCUUGGUCGGGACAGUUGCUUGCAAUUUUUCGACUCGAACCAGGAAUUCCUUGUAAUCGUGAUUCAUCACAUCACGAUGAAUACGUCCCUGCCCUUUGUACACACCGCCCGUCGCUCCUACCGAUCGAAGAGUUAGGUGAAUUGUUUUGAUCGAUAAGAUUUGACUAUGGUCAACUCUCGUUGUGAAAUUCUGUGAAUCUGACUGUUUAGCGGAAGGAAAAGUCGUAACA
rnacentral:rRNA from 1 species